UAGUCCACGCCGUAAACGAUGAUUACUCGCUGUAGGCGAUACACAGUCUGUGGCUAAGCGAAAGUUUUAAGUAAUCCACCUGGGGAGUACGAUCGCAAGAUUGAAACUCAAAGGAAUUGACGGGGGCCCGCACAAGCGGAGGAACAUGUGGUUUAAUUCGAUGAUACGCGAGGAACCUUACCUGGACUUAAAUGCAGUAUGACAGAUUUGGAAACAGAUUUUUCUUCGGACAUAUUGCAAGGUGCUGCAUGGUUGUCGUCAGCUCGUGCCGUGAGGUGUUGGGUUAAGUCCCGCAACGAGCGCAGCCCCUAUCGUUAGUUGCCAGCAUUAAGUUGGGGACUCUAACGAGACUGCCUACGCAAGUAGUGAGGAAGGCGGGGACGACGUCAAAUCAUCAUGGCCUUUAUGCCUAGGGCGACACACGUGCUACAAUGGUAGGUACAGAGGGUAGCGAAGCGGCGACGUGGAGCCAAUCCCAGAAAGCCUAUCCCAGUUCGGA
rnacentral:rRNA from 1 species